GAUGAACGCUGGCGGCGUGCCUAAUACAUGCAAGUCGAGCGAAUGGAUUAAGAGCUUGCUCUUAUGAAGUUAGCGGCAGACGGGUGAGUAACACGUGGGUAACCUGCCCAUAAGACUGGGAUAACUCCGGGAAACCGGGGCUAAUACCGGAUAACAUUUUGAACCGCAUGGUUCGAAAUUGAAAGGCGGCCUCGGCUGUCACUUAUGGAUGGACCCGCGUCGCAUUAGCUAGUUGGUGAGGUAACGGCUCACCAAGGCAACGAUGCGUAGCCGACCUGAGAGGGUGAUCGGCCACACUGGGACUGAGACACAGCCCAGACUCCUACGGGAGGCAGCAGUAGGGAAUCUUCCGCAAUGGACGAAAGUCUGACGGAGCAACGCCGCGUGAGUGAUGAAGGCUUUCGGGUCGUAAAACUCUGUUGUUAGGGAAGAACAAGUGCUAGUUGAAUAAGCUGGCACCUUGACGGUACCUAACCAGAAAGCCACGGCUAACUACGUGCCAGCCGCCGCCGUAA
rnacentral:rRNA from 1 species